rnacentral:rRNA from 1 species
GAAUAUUGCGCAAUGGGGGAAACCCUGACGCAGCAACGCCGCGUGAGUGAGGAAGGUCUUCGGAUUGUAAAACUCUUUUAUUAGGGAAAAAUGUCUCUGUGGUUAAUACCCAUAGAGAGUGAUGGUACCUAAGGAAUAAGCACCGGCUAACUUCGUGCCAGCAGCCGCGGUAAUACGAAGGGUGCAAGCGUUGUUCGGAAUCAUUGGGCGUAAAGCGCGCGCAGGCGGAUCAGCAAGUCAGAUGUGAAAUCUCGAAGCUCAACUUCGAAACUGCGUCUGAAACUGCUAGUCUAGAAUGUCGGAGGGGGCAGGGGAAUUUCACGUGUAGGGGUAAAAUCCGUAGAGAUGUGAAGGAACACCGGAGGCGAAGGCGCCUGCCUGGACGACUAUUGACGCUGAGGCGCGAAAGCGUGGGGAGCAAA